rnacentral:lncRNA from 1 species
AUAUGUUGCAGUUAGAAAAAACACCUCCACCAUUUUUGACCUCUAUGGUCUCAUCUUGUAUUUCACUAUCCUUAUUGACAUCAGAUACAUUCCCAUUAUCAAAAGUAAUGCUCUGAGCCUGACUACGCUGUCUAGUAUUAUCUUCAAGCUUCCUAACUGUGCCAAACAAAGACUCUAUAAGUAGAUCAAGAGACGAGGGGUUUGAUAGUUCUUGGUUCAUAUUAUCCGUCUCCAUAUGCUUACU